UUCUCUCCAAGCUGUCGUGGAGAGAGGAUGCAUUUUUCUGCUCUUGCAGAGGCAAGAUGUCUUUCUGUAAUAUACCAGCUUUGAACUGUAAAUAAAGCUAUAUGGAGUAUGGAGCACGUAUUCUCAUCCUUCCGCUGGGCACGACAGACUCUGCUUUAAAUCAACACGUGGUUAUGGACUCCAGAGGUCGAAUCGGAGUGCCGGCAGAUCGGAAUGCAGAGGGACGGAUCGGAAAGGAAUCUGCUCUGCGCGUCGAAGUGAUUGAUGAGGUAUGUGCUACUGCUCCGGGCAGCCUGCCAGCUUCAAGUUAAUGGCUUUAUGGCUGGACUUUGAACUAUUAAAGCCGGUUUUGCCGGGAGUAGGCAAAAGGCUCCCAGGCACAAGUCACUAUGCUGGGGAAAUCGAAAGUAACUUUUAAGUGUGCCUUUGUAAUGAAGCAGCUGCAGCAGUGACGCAGCAAGAUUUAAAGCAGCAUAGAUAUGACGCUGAAGGCUAAUGCCAGAGUCAUGAUGGCCCUUCAGGAUGCUUGUGGGAUUCCUAAGCUCAACAAGAAAAAUUACAGUGACUGGGUUCAGUAUGCAGAGGCAAUUCUGCGGAAAGAGGGUUUGUUUGAGGUGAUUACAGGAACCCCCCCAGUUCCAGUUACAGAUGCAUGGGAAGCUAAGGAUUCCAAAGCAAGGGGAACUCUUACAUUGAUAGUAUCCCCAGAAGAGCUCUGUCUAUUGCGUGAUAAGACCUCAGCCAGAGAAAUUUGGGACGCUCUGAAAGAGGCUCAUUUAAGGACAGAAGCUGGAUCCACUAUGUUUUACUUUAACAAGCUGCAUAAUAUGGCUCUUGCUGAAGGUGGAGAUGUGCGUUUACAUCUAAUGGAGAUGCAAAAUCUGAGACAUGAGCUGCAACAGAGAGGACUCAACUUUCCAGAGGCUGUGUAUUCUUUCAUGAUACUACAAUCUUUGGGUUCAGGUUGGGAGUCUGUUGCAACCCAGAUUGCUGUGCAACCAACUGCUCAGCUGACAGUGGACUUUGUUACUGCUGUGAUUUUAAAUGAAGCAGAUCGCCGGGGUGCUAGCUGCAUGGGCAAGGGAGAGUCUUCACAGACGUCAUCCCAUAGUGCAGUGGAACCACCAGAUGGCGCCAAAGCUUUGAAGGCAGUGAAAUGCUACUCGUGUGGAC